AUAGAUCACCAAAGAAAAAGCAGAUGUCAAAUAAGUGCAUGCAAUGACAGUGCUGUCAUACAUUAUCCAGGGGAUGCACAGCAAGUCAACGGCAGCGCUACACACCAGCUAGAAUGGUCAGAAUUUGGACUGCCAAUAUUACCAAAGGCUGUGACGACAGAACUUGCCUCCAUUGCUAGUGGGAAGACUUCUCAGCAGUGACUUAUGAAACUAAACACAACCUUACCCUAAGAUCACAGUCAUGUGCCGCCUUGUGAUUUACUAAAAGGAACUGAGAAUAUGUCUACAUAAAACCUGUACAGUUCUUUGACCACUUCCUCACAAUUGCCAAACCCUGGAAGCAACCAAGAUACCUCUAAAUAGGUGAAUGGAUAAACUUGUAAGUCCAGAGAGUAGAACUGUUAUUCAGCACUAAAAAAAAGCUAUUAAGCUAUGGAAAGAGAAUGGAGCAAUCUUUAGCAUCUAUCACUACAUAAAAGAAGGUAGUAUGAAGAAUCUGCAUGCCAAAAUUUCAGUGGUGUUUUGGAAAAUAACUGUCCCAAGAGGACAAGGACAAGCUUACCCACGGAGAGAAGGCGCCAGGUGACAGCAGGGGUGGCGAAGCAGGCAAACACGUCAUCAGUGCAGCAGAAGUGGGUGAGGUGUGGAAGGAUCAC
ensembl:processed_transcript